CGUCAAAGCUUAAUUAUUAAACCCCAAUAAAUUCCUAAAAUAAACUAAAACCCUACCCCAAUACUGAGUAAUUCCAUACACCUAUGGAAAUUAUUAUGUUAAAACUAGUAACAUGAAGUUAAACCCUUCUCUCAAAUGUAAGUAUAAGUCAGGAUGGAGUGUACACUGACAAUUAACAGCUUAAACUAAGGUAAUAAAACACCCAAGAAAACCCUACCAACCCACCUGUUAACCUAACACAAGAACAUUUAGAGAAAGACUUAAAGAGAAAGAAGGAACUCGGCAAAACUGAUUCCGCCUGUUUACCAAAAACAUCGCCUCCUGAAUUUAACUAUAAGAGGUCUAGCCUGCCCAGUGACUCUGUUUAACGGCCGCGGUAACCUAACCGUGCGAAGGUAGCGUAAUCACCUGUUUUUUAAUUAAAGACCUGUAUGAAAGGCAUCACGAGAAUCACACUGUCUCCUUUCUCAAGUCAGUGAAACUAAUCUCCUCGUGAAAAAGCGAGGAUAACACUACAAGACGAGAAGACCCUUUGGAGCUUAAGACAAUAUAAAUACUUGCCCUAUUCUACUCCCAAUAUCACACAGCAUAAUAUUUAUAAGUCUUGGGUUGGGGCAACCACGGAGUAAAAACAAAUCUCCGAGCUGAACGGAAGUUUCCUAAACAAAAAGUAACAGCUUUAUGUAUCAAUAAACUGACACAAUUUGACCCAAUAUAUUUGAUUAACGAACCAAGUUACCCCAGGGAUAACAGCGCAAUCCACUUAAAGAGUUCAUAUCGAAAAGUGGGCUUACGACCUCG
rnacentral:rRNA from 1 species